rnacentral:rRNA from 1 species
AUUAGGGUUUGAUUAUGGCCUCAGGAUGAACGCUAGCGGCAGGCCUAACACAUGCAAGUCGAACGGUAACAGGAAUUAGCUUGCUAAUUUGCUGACGAGUGGCGCACGGGUGCGUAACGCGUAUACAAUCUACCUUUUGCUGAGGGAUAGCCCAGAGAAAUUUGGAUUAAUACCUCAUGGUAUUAUUGAUAGGCAUCUAUUAAUAAUUAAAGGUUACGGCAAAAGAUGAGUAUGCGUCCCAUUAGCUAGUUGGCGAGGUAACGGCUCACCAAGGCAACGAUGGGUAGGGGUCCUGAGAGGGAGAUCCCCCACACUGGUACUGAGACACGGACCAGACUCCUACGGGAGGCAGCAGUGAGGAAUAUUGGACAAUGGGCGAGAGCCUGAUCCAGCCAUGCCGCGUGCAGGAAGACUGCCCUAUGGGUUGUAAACUGCUUUUAUACAGGAAGAAUAAGCCUUACGUGUAAGGUGAUGACGGUACUGUAAGAAUAAGGACCGGCUAACUCCGUGC